AGGACUUGCCUGCUUGUUCCCGUUCGGCAUUAUGUAAGCUGUGUAAGUGAUGUGGUUCCAACGCGCAGGUGCUUUAGUUUCAUUGUCUCCGUAAAGACAGCUUCCUCAUAAAUAUGAUUUACGAAGCAGUUCUUUCCAUUCGGCCUCUUGGAGCUCUCACAGAAACUAACAAUCACAAUUCCAAAUGAGGUAAUUCUGAGCUUCACCAGUGUGGCUGGCCAGCAUUCUAAGACAGCAUUAAAGACGAUGCGAAGGAUGGAAGCUGGAUACUAGAGAAUAAUUUAAAUUAUGAAAGUACUCUCAUAGUUGUGAUUGCCAGAGGAAAGAAGGGUUGGGGGAGCUAGAAGAGUGAUAAAUGGUGAUGGAAGGAGACUUGGCUUAGGGUGGUGAAUACACAAUACAAUAUACAGAUGAUGUAUUACUGAAUUGUAUACCGAAAACCUAUAUAAGUUUAUUAGCCCAUGUCACCCCAAUACAUUCAAUUAA